AUUCGAAAUUUUGAAAUUGACUUCUUAAAAUAACUUCCAUUAUCAUCAAAAUAGAUAAGAAGGAAUGAUCAGAUUUCUUUUCAAUCAGAAAUCUACAGAAGACUCGCAGAAAAUGAAGUACUUAGUAUUGCUCUUGAUCAUUGUCGCAGUAUUAGGAUACGCCUACAGCCAGACAACUGAACCAAAGAUAUAUGAUGAAGCCUCAGAUCAUAUAAAUUCCAUUCUCUGAAAGCAUUUUCUUGUCCAAAAUGCACUUACCGU